UAGAUAUGGAGCAGAACCAGGUACCCAGCAGAGCAACCUUCCAAUGAUGCUGAGGAUCAUGGAAAGAGCCAACAGGCCACGAUAGGCUCUGUGUCUGGCUGCUAUACGUCUCUGGGCUCCUGUGAGAAUUCAAAGCUGAGCACCAGAGACAUGUGCCACAGCAAGCAGAGACACACAGAACAUGGACCAUGGAGUGCCACGCCCCACUGCCUCCGGCAGGGCAGGCACACAGUUUGGAGGAGAGGGGAGUCACUCGCUUCUUUCCAAUGAUUUUGUCUUCACCGGGUACUACCAACUCUGCAGAGAAUGAAGACAAAUUGCUCCACUCCAGAAACCUCUGUACAGCACCUGCUCCUCACAACAUGCCACCCCCCCCCCCCGUGGGUGCAGAAGCUCUCAUUGCAACGCUUUCACGUCACAGAUGGCCUGCCAUAUGUCACCUCCCCUCAGCUAUCACCUUACCUGAGGCUGUGGCCCUGGCUCCCUCUGCUC
rnacentral:lncRNA from 1 species